rnacentral:misc_RNA from 1 species
UUAAGUUCAGCGGGUAUCCCUACCUGAUCCGAGGUCAAGAGCAAAAUGUUUGACUUGAUGGACGUCGACAUUCAAGGCAAGAAACGCAAAAUGUGCUGCGCUCCCAGGCCAGUAUGCCGGCUGCCAAUUGCUUUAAGGCGAGUCCACGCGUAAAAGCGGGACAAACACCCAACACAAGCAGAGCUUGAGGGUACAAAUGA